rnacentral:lncRNA from 1 species
AUGCCUGCAGCACAUGCUGGAAGGGUGCACUCACCCAGACAUGGGCUGAGGCCAGGGUCAGAGCCACACAGCUCAACACAAUGCCCUGGCUACCUCUGUCAGUUCUCAGCUUCAGCAUCAUCUAUGAAGGACAGGAGACCUUCUCCCCCAGACUGAAAGGAAGGAUACAAGACAACUACUGUCACCACUCCUGUUACCAUGGUGCUGGGAGGCCCAGCCAACUCUUUAAGAAAAGGAAAAGGGGUGUAUGGCCUGGAAGAGAAGAAACGAAGGAAGACUGCAUCAUCUACUUAGCGGAGAGAGAAACAAAGCCAAACUGUGAAGGUCUAUUCAGGAGCUCAGAAAGGCAAGCACCCCACCUACACUCCAGGCCCCUUUCUGAAGCUGUAAGAGCCACAAUUUUAGAAACAGCAAAACUGAAGUGGCCUGCCACCAUCUUGCAAUGAAGUUUUCCUGGCAGUGCCCCA